ACUCCUACGGGAGGCAGCAGUGGGGAAUAUUGCACAAUGGGCGGAAGCCUGAUGCAGCGACGCCGCGUGAGGGAUGACGGUCUUCGGGUUGUAAACCUCUUUCAGUAGGGAAGAAGCGAAGGUGACGGUACCUGCAGAAGAAGCGCCGGCUAACUACGUGCCAGCAGCCGCGGUAAU
rnacentral:rRNA from 1 species